GAGUCGGAUUUCUGUUUCUGACUCCGCAGUUUACCACCGCACGCCAAGUUGGCAGGAGUAAACCUAGUCACUGGGGCUUGACUAUGACUGCGAAAAUUUGGGACGUUAUUGUUGUUGGCGCCGGAUUAUCUGGACUGAGUGCAGCUCAUUUGCUCAGAAAGACGGAUGCCAAGUUAGAAAUACUGAUACUGGAGGGGAAAGAUCGAGUGGGAGGACGCACGCUGUCCACGGAAAUACCCGCAGCCAAUGGGGCUGACAUCUGGGACUUUGGAGGCCAGUGGGUCGGAAGCACCCAAACUCACAUCCUGGAGCUAAUAAAGGAGCUGGGCUUAGAGACCUACCCACAAUUCAACACUGGCAGGAAGGUGCAACACAUGAGAGGACCAGGCGCCAAAAUCCGCACCUACAGGUCCAAUAUUCCGGCUCUGUCCCCACUCACGCUAAUGGAUUUAACCCAGUUUUUUAGGAAGAUUGACAGAUUGUGUGCGACAGUGUGCGUCCAGGAUCCAUCGAAGACUCCCAAUGCUGCGGAGCUGGACAGUAUGACCCUGCACUCCUACACUGAGAAACACGGUUGGACUGCAGAACUAAAAGAGGAGAUGGCUCUGUGCAGCUGCUCUGUGUUUGGGAUGGAGUCGUCCCAGAUGUCCUUCUUGUUCUUCCUCAUGUAUGCGGCAGCGGCUGGAGGACUGCUGCCACUUCUGGAGAGCUCUGCAGGUUCUGCUCAGGAGUUCAAAAUAAAGGGAGGCACCCAACAGCUUUCAGAGCGCCUGGCGGAGCGUGUGGGGCUGGAGGACGUCCGGCUGGGUUCGGCGGUGACGGCCAUAUGGCAGGAUGCUGAGUGGGCUCGGGUGAUGACCGCCACCGCCACCUUCUUGUGCAGAGCUGUGAUUGUCACCUGCCCUCCUCAUCUAGCAGCAAAGAUCCAGUACCAGCCAGCCCUGCCCAGCCAGAGAGAGUUCCUCACCCAGAACAUGCCUGUGGGCCACCUCAUGAAAUUCAUUAUUACCUACCAGACGGCCUUUUGGAGAGAGAAGGACUUCUCUGGAGAAAUAGUCACAGGAUCCUCCACUGACUGUCCGUUCUGCGUUACCUUCGACGCCACCAGCCCCAGAGGUAAUGCUGCCCUGGUGGGCUUCAUCGCCGGCCAGCAAGCGUCUCAGUGGAGCUCCAAGGAGGCUGGAGAGAGAAGGGACGCUGUGGUUUCCAGUCUGGUCAAAUACCUGGGUCCCGAGGCUGCGUCUUUCAUCCACUAUGAGGAGAAGGACUGGGCUAAAGAGCCCUACAGCGGUGGCUGCCCCGUUAACGUCAUGGCACCAGGUCUGCUAACAUAUUACCACCCGAGCCUGAGGAAGCCCUGUGGCAGGAUCCAUUGGGCCGGCACGGAAACAGCCACCAAGUGGUGUGGGUACAUGAGCGGCGCGGUGGAAUCUGGUCAGCGAGCAGCUCUGGAAGUGCUGUCUAAACUCUGCCCCUCGAGCCCUGGAGGAGUAGCAAGCUGAGCUGCACAUUGAAAGUGUCCUGCAGAGCAAACACCAGCUCGGUGACGGUGCAGUUGGUCAGCGUUGGUGUUGAAUUUUGUUCGGAUGAAUUUGCCUGCUGCGUUGCAACUGAAGGUGACCCUGGCAGGAAUCCACUCCUACAGAAAAUCCUUCAUCCGAUGUCCCGUCCAGUGGCGAAAUAGAGAAGAAGACUGCAUCUCUGCCAACAACAAGGUGCAACAACAAAGACAACAUUACAGAGAAACACUUCAGGCCCUGGUCCUGCACAGGGCUGUGGCCCUGGGGUGAGGUUAGGACAUGGGGACAUAAAAUAUGGCCUGCAGGCUUAUCCCCUGUUUCCAAGCGGGAAACCAUCCAACCUUUAAGGUAAGCA